rnacentral:lncRNA from 1 species
UUGUUCAUUAUUGAUAUUGAUUGUUAAACCGGAAAUAGGAUAAUAGAGGAUUCAAUGGUUGAUUGGAAUGACUGAUGUUAAGAACUGUUAAAUAUAUAUAUAUAUAUGUAUAUAUGCUAGUCCAUGUGUUGAGAUUGCGGGGUGCAGAGGUGAUUGCACUAGGCCGCAUGUUUGAGAGAUCGCGGGGUAUGGAGAUAUCUGUACUAGGCCGUGUGUUUAGCGGGGUACAGGGACGUUUGUACUAGGCCGCUUUGUUUGAGAGAUCGCGGAGUACGGAGAUAUCUGUACUAGGUCAUGUGUUUAGCGGGGUACAUAGACGUUUGUACUAGGCCACUUUGUUUGUGGAGAUUGCGGGGGUACAGAGUGGACUACUGUACUUACGACGCUUGUAGAGUCAUAUAUAUUUAUAUCCUUAUAAGGAAAUGCGGUAUGCUAUCAUCGUAUUGGUUGUAGCAUGUCUAGUCCACUAGACAUAUGUUGAUUGUUUUGUGUGGUGUAAUAGACGCCGUGUUUGUUUCAUGCUAGAGCUAGGCCUACAUUUUAGUAGUGCUAUGAACUCAGUCAGUGGUUUGCGGUUUAGCAUCCCCAUACCUCACUGGGCGAUUCCCCUGUCGCUCACCCCUCCUUCUUUCCCCUUUCAGGUGAGACCGAUGAGCAUGAGUGAUUAUACCAGACCGGUGCUUUUGGGCUUUUACUAUUAUCAAGCUUUGGACUUCUAUCACUUUUAUCGCUUUAUCGCUUUUGGGCCUUUGGGCUCCUAUCCAUCGUUUAUGUUAUCUCGUAUUUCAGACUUUCGGUUUAUGUCGUACUUUAUAUUUUGGAU